GUACGCUGGCGGCACGCCUAACACAUGCAAGUCGAACGAAGUAGCAAUACUUAGUGGCAGACGGGUGAGUAACAUGUAGGUAUCUACCCUUUGGCCUGGAAUAACACGAGGAAACUUGUGCUAAUACCGGAUAAGUCUUUACGGAGAAAGCUUUAUGCACCAUUGGAUGAGCCUGCACUUGAUUAGUUUGUUGGUAGGGUAAUGGCCUACCAAGACUAUGAUCAAUAGCUGAUUUGAGAGGAUGAUCAGCCACAUUGGGACUGAGACACGGCCCAAACUCCUACGGGAGGCAGCAGUGGGGAAUCUUGCACAAUGGAGGAAACUCUGAUGCAGCGAUGCCGCGUGAGUGAAGAAGGCCCUUGGGUUGUAAAGCUCUUUCGUCGGGGAAGAAAAUGACUGUACCCGAAUAAGAAGGUCCGGC
rnacentral:rRNA from 1 species